rnacentral:rRNA from 1 species
AUUGAACGCAGGCGGCAGGCUUAACACAUGCAAGUCGAGCGGGGUGAUGGUGCUUGCACUAUCACUUAGCGGCGGACGGGUGAGUAAUGCUUAGGAAUCUGCCUAUUAGUGGGGGACAACAUCUCGAAAGGGAUACUAAUACCGCAUACGUCCUACGGGAGAAAGCAGGGGAUCACUUGUGACCUUGCGCUAAUAGAUGAGCCUAAGUCGGAUUAGCUAGUUGGUGGGGUAAAGGCCUACCAAGGCGACGAUCUGUAGCGGGUCUGAGAGGAUGAUCCGCCACACUGGGACUGAGACACGGCCAAGACUCCUACGGGAGGCAGCAGUGGGGAAUAUUGGACAAUGGGGGGAACCCUGAUCCAGCCAUGCCGCGUGUGUGAAGAAGGCCUUAUGGUUGUAAAGCACUUUAAGCGAGGAGGAGGCUACUCUAGUUAAUACCUAGGGAUAGUGGACGUUACUCGCAGAAUAAGCACCGGCUAACUCUGUGCCAGCCGCCGCCGUAA